CAACCCCCUUACCUGCAUCCGAUACGGUCGAGCUAGAGUUUGGUAGGGGAGACUGGAAUUCCCUGGUGUAGCGGUGGAAUGCGCAGAUAUCAGGAGGAACACCGAUGGCGAAGGCAGGUCUCUGGGCCAAUACUGACACUGAGGAGCGAAAGCGUGGGGAGCGAACAGGAUUAGAUACCCUGGUAGUCCACGCCGUAAACGGUGGGCGCUAGUUGUGCGAACCUUCCACGGUUUGUGCGACGCAGCUAACGCAUUAAGCGCCCCGCCUGGGGAGUACGAUCGCAAGAUUAAAACUCAAAGGAAUUGACAGGGCCCCGCACAAGCAGCGGAGCAUGCGGCUUAAUUCGACGCAACGCGAAGAACCUUACCAAGGCUUGACAUAUACAGGAAUAUGGCAGAGAUGUCAUAGCCGCAAGGUCUGUAUACAGGUGGUGCAUGGUUGUCGUCAGCUCGUGUCGUGAGAUGUUGGGUUAAGUCCCGCAACGAGCGCAACCCUCGUUCUGUGUUGCCAGCAUUAAGUUGGGGACUCACAGGAGACUGCCGGGGUUAACUCGGAGGAAGGUGGGGAUGACGUCAAAUCAUCAUGCCCCUUAUGUCUUGGGCUGCACGCAUGCUACAAUGGCUGGUACAAACGGCUGCGAUACCGCAAGGUGGAGCGAAUCCGAUAAAGCCAGUCUCAGUUCGGAUUGGGGUCUGCAACUCGACCCCAUGAAGUCGGAGUUGCUAGUAAUCGUAGAUCAGCAACGCUACGGUGAAUACGUUCCCGGGGCUUGUACACACCGCCCGUCACAUCACGAAAGUCGGUAACACCCAAAGUCAGUGGCCCAACCGUAAGGAGGGAGCUGCCAAAGGUGGGAUCGGUGUUGGGAUGAAGUCGUAACAAGGUAAAGGGCGAAUUCGCGGCCGCUAAAUCAAUCGCCCUAUAAGGGGAG
rnacentral:rRNA from 1 species